rnacentral:lncRNA from 1 species
AUGCUUGCCCCCUGUUCAGGUUGGGAGCUUGGCUGCUUCCGUCUCUGUCUCCGUCAGGUCCGACUGUGGGCUGGCGCUGGGCGCUGGUCUUGCUGGGCUUGCCAAGCCAGGCCGUACAGCUCAGGUAGGGGCGAGCGCUGGCCCGGAUCGGAGACUGAGGUCCCUCCGCCUGGCCCGGCGCGCCGAACUCUGAAGGAGUGGACACUGCAGGGUCAAAAAUUGCAUGUUCAAACAAAAGGAGGCAAAGUGAUCUGUCUGGGAACAGUUUAUGGAAAUAUAGAUAUUCAUGCAUCAGAUAAAAGUGCUGUGACCAUAGAUAAACUGCAGGGAAGUUCUGUUACUGUAUCUACCGAAGAUGGGUUGCUGAAAGCCAAGUAUCUUUAUACAGAAUCAUCAUUUCUGUCUUCUGCUGCUGGGGAUAUUACAUUAGGAAGUGUUCAUGGUAAUAUAACAUUACAAAGCGAGAUGGGUAACAUCACAGUAGAUUCGUCUUCUGGAUGUCUAAAAGCCUCAACUAAUCAGGGUGCCAUAGAUGUUUAUGUCAGCCAACUGGGGAAAGUGGAAUUGAAAUCCCAUAAAGGUUCUAUUAUUGUCAAGGUCCCAUCUUCACUUCAAGCUCAUUUACAGUUAUCAGGGAAAGAGGUUGAUGUGAACUCAGAAGUCCAUGUUCAGGAAAUGGCUGAAGCUCGUAAAGAUGAUGUUGUAACAGUGACUGG